rnacentral:lncRNA from 1 species
AUGACUGCAUCCAACUCGCAGGUGCGCCAGAACUACCACCAGGACUCAGAGGCCGCCAUCAACCGCCAGAUCAACCUGGAGCUCUACGCCUCCUACUUUAACCUCUCCAUGUCUUACUACUUUGACCGUGAUGAUGCGGCUUUGAAGAACUUUGCCAAAUACUUUCUUCACCAAUCUCAUGAGGAGAGGGAGCAUGCUGAGAAACUGAUGAAACUGCAGAACCAACAAGGUGGCUGAAUUUUCCUUCAGGAUAUCAAGAAACCAGACUGAUGACUGGGAUAGUGGGCUGAAUGUGAUAGAGUGUGCAUUACAUUUGGAAAAAAAUGUGAAUCAGUCACUACUGGAACUGCACAAACUGGCCACUGACAAAAAUGACCCCCAUUUGUGUGACUUCAUUGAGACACAUUACCUGAAUGAGCAGGUGAAAGCCAUCAAAGAAUUGGGUGAACGUGACCAACUUGCACAAGAUGGGAGCACCCGAAUCUGGCUUGGCAGAAUAUCUCUUUGACAAGCACACCCUGGGAGAAAGUGAUAAUGAAAGCUAA